CAGCAGCCGCGGGAAUACGUAGGUGGCAAGCGCUGUCCGGAAUUAUUGGGCGUAAAGGGCUCGCAUGCGGUUUCUUAAGUCUGAUGUGAAAGCCCCCGGCUCAACCGGGGAGGGUCAUUGGAAACUGGGAAACUUGAGUGCAGAAGAGGAGAGUGGAAUUCCACGUGUAGCGGUGAAAUGCGUAGAGAUGUGGAGGAACACCAGUGGCGAAGGCGACUCUCUGGUCUGUAACUGACGCUGAGGAGCGAAAGCGUGGGGAGCGAACAGGAUUAGAUACCCGGGUAGUCCCUGUCUCUUAUAC
rnacentral:rRNA from 1 species